rnacentral:rRNA from 1 species
UACAGAGGUCUCAAGCGUUGUUCGGAUUCACUGGGCUUAAAGGGCGCGUAGGCGGACUGGUAAGUCCGGGGUGAAAUCUUUCGGCUCAACCGGAAAAGUGCCUUGGAAACUGCCAGUCUCGAGGGGGGUAGGGGCCUGUGGAACUUCGGGUGGAGCGGUGAAAUGCGUUGAUAUCCGAAGGAACGCCGGUGGCGAAAGCGACGGGCUGGACCCCUUCUGACGCUGAGGCGCGAAAGCCAGGGGAGCAAACGGG